rnacentral:lncRNA from 1 species
AUGGAAUCAGCCACUAGGGAAAAGCAGCCACACUCUCCAGUAAAUGUAUAUUGUGAUGAAAAUCAAUUUAUAGUCUCUGUGGGGAAAGAUCUUCUUAACAAUGGCAUGGCCUUGAAAAAGUAUCAGGUGACGCUGGGAGAGAAUUGUGAAGUAACCCAGAGCAGACCAGAUUUCUUGUGCCUGUCCUACACAGUCUCAGAUUGUGGAAUACAACGAACGGUUGUACAGGAUAUCAUUAUGUUCCACAGUACUGUGAAGAUUUCUUUCAUUUAUUAUUUUUAUGAUGGCACAGCUAAAAUACCCAUAUCAUGCAGUAUUUGGGAGAGUAAUUAUACAAUGAUCCCUCAACUCUCAUCAUUAAUGUUAGAAACACAGAAUGAAACAAACAAAGCUCAGGACUCUGGUCCAACUACCUCAAGGGCUCAGCAAAAUGUUGGCCUGAGCUAGUAGGGACGGGACCAUCAGAUCCACAAAACCCAACUCCAAGAGCAGCCUGAAACUUCCCUGUUUUGUGACUGACUCUUCUCUGCUCUGGGAAUAUGGGAACAGUGCUUUGCAACAAGUUUCUUCCCCUGAAAGCUGCUUCAGAGUUCCCAUGGUCCCUGGUCAAGGGCCAAUGGCAUCGCUUACCAAAAACCCUUGGGAAAUUGUGCAAAUGCCUGAUGAUGCUCUAUGAAACUCUUUGUAUAGUUUAUUUAAAAGAGCAUUGAUUUGGGGGGAAAAAGCCAUCCUGUCCCUUUUAUGGCCCAUGGUUAGAAGGGGCCAUCUUUGUCUUUUCAGGAAAAGAUAUCCAUUGUGUGUCUUUAGUUUUACAAUCUUAGGCUCAGAAUCACAGGGUCUAGGGCAGCACGGAAUAGAAUUGACCAUUGAGAAAUCCUUGAGUAAGGCUCAAGAAUACCCCUACUCAAAGUAUGACUUGAAUUUAGACUCCAGCCCCACUGCCCCCAAGACUGGGAAAAGACAACUUUGCAAGCAUUCAGGCUAUUAAGACAAAUAAAAUUGGUCCCAAAACCA